UACAGAGGUCUCAAGCGUUGUUCGGAUUCAUUGGGCGUAAAGGGUGUGUAGGUGGCGCCGUAAGUCGGGUGUGAAAUUUCGGAGCUUAACUCCGAAACUGCAUUCGAUACUGCGGUGCUUGAGGACUGGAGAGGAGACUGGAAUUCAUGGUGUAGCAGUGAAAAUGCGUAGAGAUCAUGAGGAAGACCAGUGGCGAAGGCGGGUCUCUGGACAGUUCCUGACACUGAGACACGAAGGCCAGGGGAGCAAAACGGG
rnacentral:rRNA from 1 species